GACGAACGCUGGCGGCGUGCUUAACACAUGCAAGUCGAGCGGUAAGGCCCUUUCGGGGGUACACGAGCGGCGAACGGGUGAGUAACACGUGGGUGACCUGCCCUCAGCUCUGGGAUAAGCCUGGGAAACCGGGUCUAAUACCGGAUAUGACUCCAUGACGCAUGUUGUGGGGUGGAAAGCCUUGUGCGGCUGAGGAUGGGCCCGCGGCCUAUCAGCUUGUUGGUGGGGUGAUGGCCUACCAAGGCGACGACGGGUAGCCGGCCUGAGAGGGCGACCGGCCACACUGGGACUGAGACACGGCCCAGACUCCUACAGGAGGCAGCAGUGGGGAAUAUUGGACAAUGGGCGCAAGCCUGAUCCAGCCAUGCCGCGUGAGUGAUGAAGGCCU
rnacentral:rRNA from 1 species